GGUUUUCAUCUCUUGUACCUCUUCACGCUGUUUGAUCCACAAGGAGACUGUCACAGGAUUGAGUUUGUUAUUUUGCUCUUUGUGCUGUUUGAUCCGCAAGGAGGUUGUCACAGGUUUGAGCUCGCCAUUUUUUUGGUUUCUACCUCCCGAAGCCCUUCGUGUUGUUUGAUCUGUAAGGAGUUUGGCACAGGGUUGAGUUUGCUAUUUUUGAGAUGCUGUUGGUGCGUCCAAACAUACUAUUGCUUGAAUAAGGCUAUUCCGAGAUAGCUCAGAUACUGCAAAGUCGACUAAAACUACGAACACAUUUUGGUUUUGAAAGCACUCCUUGUCUUUUGCCACAGGAAGGAGCCUGAUCUUCUCUUCUUUUUUUUUGUUGGAGCUUGCUUUUGAACCUGUGUAGGCCAACCUAUUAACCUGCUACCCAUAGCAGACGACAUUUUCACUGAUCCUCCUAUAUAUAGUAAUGUACAUACUGGCAGAACAUCAAAGUUAUCUAAGGAACUAAGCGUAUCAAAGCUGCAUUACCAUGUGCUCCUCCAACUAGGUUCUUUAAGCAGGAUAGUGUCAGGCUCUCCUAGUAGUGGCCAUUUAUAGUUUAGGAAUGUAUAAUUCAGCACCCACUAACAUCUAGAUAGCAAAAUUGCUCUUGUAAUUCCAGGUAACCAACAUGAUAAACAUAUUCGGUAGUACCUCUGAUACUAUUGCCU